CUGGGGGACGGAGCUGCAUGGCCUGAACAGGUGAGACUACUGGGGGACGGGGCUGCAUGGCCUGUGACUACAUGGGUCAGAGGUUAGAUAGAAACAAGUGAGACUACUGGGGUCAGAGGUUAGAUAGGUGAGAUUCCUGGGGGACGGGGCUGCAAGGCCUGUACAGGUGAGACUACUGGGGGACGGGGCUGCAUGGCCUGUACAGGUGAGACUACUGGGGGACGGGGCUGCAUGGCCUGUACAGGUGAGACUACUGGGGGACGGAGCUGCAUGGCCUGUGACUACUUGGGUCAGAGUUUAGAUAGAAACAAGUGAGACUACUGGGGCCAGGUUAGUUAGGAACAGGUGAGACUACUGGGGUCAGAGGUUAGAUAGGUGAGACUACUGGGGUCAGAG